rnacentral:lncRNA from 10 species
GAUCCGCCUGCCUCGGCCUCCCAAAGUGCUGGGAUUACAGGCGUGAGCCACUGCCCCCGGCCGCAUGGGGAGUUCUAAUUGGAUAUUGCCACGGUUUCUACGGGACUGAACAAAGGGGGACCCACACAGGAAUGAAAACUUAAAACAAAACAGCCACUAAGGAAGGCGCAGAGGGACUUCCUUUCGGCCCGAAACAGUAUCUGUGCUGCCAAAAACAGUAAGCUAACAGAUAAUACCACAAUGAAUAACCUGGUUGUUUUCCUUGUGACUCAAAUGAGGAAGAAUAAACUUGGUUUAGGACUAUUCAAUGCCAGUGUUUUCAGAUGGCUCCACCAGCAGAGAACAGAGAAGGGGAGAAGAGGAAAAGCAGCUGGACGUCGGGGACUGCGGUUUGACGUCGGAGAGAAGCAGCUUGACUUCAGAGGGACAGCUUGACCGCUUUGCUUUGGAGAGGAGUCUGGCUGGGGAUGGCUGGACUCCAGGGGAAGAUCGUCUUCCUGUUCCAUCCCUUUUCCAGCUCCCCUCCCACUGAGAGCCACUUUCAUUGGCAAUAAAAUCCUCCAUAUUCACCACCCUUCAAUUCGUUCAUGCGACCUGAUUUUUCCUGGAUGCCAAACAAGAGCCCAGGUGCCACAGGUGUGGAUACUAAAGGCUGUCACACUGACCCUUUGCCCUUGCUGGCAGAGAGCAACCACUUCAUGCAAAAAGGCAGAGGGCCCACUGAGGUAUUUAACACUUAAGCUGUCCGUGGACAGCCAAGCUAAAAGAACACUGUAACACACUCCCUCUGGGGCUUCUGGGGUCCCUGGUAUUCCUGACGAGACACUGUCAUGGGGCCUGCAGGGAGUUUUGCUCCUGCCAACACCCAAAAGCACUCUUUCUGGCUCCUGCACCCGCUCACCUGCGUGCUUCCCCUUCCCUCAAGGGCUUGAGAGCUGCAGGCUGAGUAAGUAGGCACCCUUGUCACGAGGUCCAAAAAGGGAUCAAGGAAAAUUUCCUGUUUCAGUGCUUUGGCAAAAACUUGAGUCAAUGAUACAGAAAAGUUAUGAGAGUUGAAAUCCUUGUCUAGUUCCCACUCAUAAUUCACUGAUUUUUAUUUCUGUAGUUUAUAAUCUGAGGUUAAUUCUAUCCAAUAAUAUUUUCAUUGUAGUAAUUGGGUAAUUUUUAUAUUUAGAUAUUGCUUUUGGUUUCUUUUUUGUAACGUCCAGUUCUCCAUUUUUUUGGUACAUAUAAAUAAAUAUAAUAACUCUUUUAAUGUUAUUAUUUGAUAAUUUAAUCAUCUCUGUCAAUUCUAUGUUUCUAUUGACUAUUUCCCCCCCAAUCGUAAGUCUAAUUUUCUUGUUUGUAUGUGCAGUAGUUAAAAAAUUCAAAUUAAAAAUAUUGCAAAUUUCUGGCCAGGUGUGGUGGCUCAUGCUUGUAACCCCAGCAUUUUGGGAGGUGGAGGCAGGCAAAUCACUUGAGGUCUGGAGUUCUCCAGCCUGGCCAACAAGGUGAAACCUGUCUCUACUAAAAAUACAAUUAG